CUGGGAUCUCCUUGACAAUUGCAAAUUUCCGGGGAAACUGCUGAUACGGCAUCUGCCAGGAGGUGGCGCUGUUGGCCUUCAUCGUGCCUCUGUGCCUACCUGAACUGACUUCUCCCCUGCACUGUUCACCUUGCAAUCGAAAACGAGCACGUUGCUUGGCAACAAGUCCAACUUUUACAGUUUCGGCCGAGGUUUCCUGCUGGCUGCUGUGUGGUGAGUUCCGGAAACCUCAGGGCCCGCAGACUUCCCCUUGUGGGGUACCCGCCCAGACUUCAUCCUCUGCGGGCAGCCACGCCCCACUGGGGGAAGUUGAGACUGGAAAGAAAGCCUUUCCUUGAGGCUGGCACACCUUGCUGUGCCUCACCUGUCCCUUCCAGUCCCCUGACUGGCCAGCUCCAUCUGAAACCGCAGUUACCAGAGGAGGGACAAGUUUGAAAGAAUCACCUGGUCACAUGGCAGAGGCAAGGAGGGAUAACCCGUUUUCACCUGAGUCUGACCCUUUUGUCACCAAUUCAUUUCCUGCUGGUCUGUGUUUCUCCACUGCCCACAGAAGAGAAAGAGGUGUGGUUCCCUAAUUCCUGGAGGAGGAAGAAAAGGACUGUCAAGGUCAGACGCUGCUGUGUCACUGGAGGCUACAGGAGUCACCCGCCAAACCAGAGUGCGAACUGCAAACCUCUGUUAUCACAGAGCCAAGGCAGUGCUGACUCCACCUCUCCCAGGCUGUAGACAGCUCACAGAUACUACUGAACCACACUCAGGAGGGGACACACUCUGCCUUGGCUCCCAACUCUGCAGACGGAGGUAGUAAUGUCCUCCCAGGGAGACACUUUUAAUCUGGCCUGGUAUUUACUGUUGUUUACCUGGGAGUGUGCUCUGUGUACAGAAUCUUUACUGGGCCACACCCCACAUGAUACUGUACUUAGGUAAAGGUAGCUGAGUGGACUUCCUGAUUGUUGGCGUGGCCAGAGAGAGAGAGAGAGAGAGAGAGAGAGAGAGAGAGAGAGAGAGAGAGAGAGAGAGAGAACACAGCAGAGAGGAGGAGAGUGGUAUGCACAUGCAUGGUCCUCCUGUCUCUCUUCU
rnacentral:lncRNA from 1 species